GAUGAACGCUGGCGGCGUGCCUAAUACAUGCAAGUCGAGCGAACGGACGAGAAGCUUGCUUCUCUGAUGUUAGCGGCGGACGGGUGAGUAACACGUGGAUAACCUACCUAUAAGACUGGGAUAACUUCGGGAAACCGGAGCUAAUACCGGAUAAUAUUUUGAACCGCAUGGUUCAAAAGUGAAAGACGUUCUUGCUGUCACUUAUAGAUGGAUCCGCGCUGCAUUAGCUAGUUGGUAGGGUAACGGCUUACCAAGGCGACGAUGCAUAGCUGACCUGAGAGGAUGAUCAGUCACACGGGAACUGAGACACGGUCCAGGCUCCUACGGGAGGCAGCAGUGGGGAAUAUUGGACAAUGGGCGAAAGCCUGAUCCAGCCAUGCCGCGUGUGUGAAGAAGGUCUUCGGAUUGUAAAGCACUUUAAGUUGGGAGGAAGGGCAGUAAGUUAAUACCUUGCUGUGGUGACGUUACCAACAGAAUAAGCACCGGCUAACUUCGUG
rnacentral:rRNA from 1 species